GACGAACGCUGGCGGCGUGCUUAACACAUGCAAGUCGAACGGAAAGGCCCUGCUUUUGUGGGGUGCUCGAGUGGCGAACGGGUGAGUAACACGUGAGUAACCUGCCCUUGACUUUGGGAUAACUUCAGGAAACUGGGGCUAAUACCGGAUAGGAGCUCCUGCUGCAUGGUGGGGGUUGGAAAGUUUCGGCGGUUGGGGAUGGACUCGCGGCUUAUCAGCUUGUUGGUGGGGUAGUGGCUUACCAAGGCUUUGACGGGUAGCCGGCCUGAGAGGGUGACCGGCCACAUUGGGACUGAGAUACGGCCCAGACUCCUACGGGAGGCAGCAGUGGGGAAUAUUGCACAAUGGGCGGAAGCCUGAUGCAGCAACGCCUCGAGAGGGAUGACGGCCUUCGGGUUGUAAAACGCUUUCGCCUGUGACGAAGCGUGAGUGACGGUAAUGGGUAAAGAAGCACCGGCUAACUACGUG
rnacentral:rRNA from 1 species